AGAGCGAACGCUGGCGGCAGGCUUAACACAUGCAAGUCGAGCGGGCGUAGCAAUACGUCAGCGGCAGACGGGUGAGUAACGCGUGGGAACGUACCUUUUGGUUCGGAACAACACAGGGAAACUUGUGCUAAUACCGGAUAAGCCCUUACGGGGAAAGAUUUAUCGCCGAAAGAUCGGCCCGCGUCUGAUUAGCUAGUUGGUGAGGUAACGGCUCACCAAGGCGACGAUCAGUAGCUGGUCUGAGAGGACGACCAGCCACACUGGAACUGAGACACGGUCCAGACACCUACGGGUGGCAGCAGUCGAGAAUUUUCUCAAUGGGGGAAACCCUGAAGGAGCGACGCCGCGUGGAGGAUGAAGGUCUUCGGAUUGUAAACUCCUGUCAUUUGGGAACAAUUGUUGGCGAUUAACUGUCGUCAGCUUGAUAGUACCAGAGGAGGAAGAGACGGCUAACUCUGUGCCAGCAGCCGC
rnacentral:rRNA from 1 species